UACGUAGGGACCAAGCGUUGUUCGGAUUUACUGGGCGUAAAGCGUGCGCAGGCGGUUCGUUAAGUUCGUUGUGAAAGCCCCGGGCUCAACCUGGGAAUGGCAAUGGAAACUGGCGGGCUUGAGUGCGGCAGAGGGGGGUGGAAUUCCGCGUGUAGCAGUGAAAUGCGUAGAGAUGCGGAGGAACACCGAUGGCGAAGGCAGCCCCCUGGGCCGACACUGACGCUCAGGCACGAAAGCGUGGGGAGCAAACAGG
rnacentral:rRNA from 1 species